rnacentral:rRNA from 1 species
CCGUAGCCCAAGAGAUCGGGAUAACACCUGGAAACAGAUGCUAAUACCGGAUAACAACAGAUGAUGCCUAUCAACUGUUUAAAAGAUGGUUCUGCUAUCACUCUUGGAUGGACCUGCGGUGCAUUAGCUAGUUGGUAGGGUAACGGCCUACCAAGGCGAUGNUGCAUAGCCGAGUUGAGAGACUGAUCGGCCACAUUGGGACUGAGACACGGCCCAAACUCCUACGGGAGGCAGCAGC